ACGGAGGGUGCAAGCGUUAAUCGGAAUUACUGGGCGUAAAGCGCGCGUAGGCGGUUUGUUAAGUCGGAUGUGAAAGCCCCGGGCUCAACCUGGGAACUGCAUACGAUACUGGCAAGCUAGAGUGCAAUAGAGGGGGGUAGAAUUCCAGGUGUAGCGGUGAAAUGCGUAGAUAUCUGGAGGAAUACCGGUGGCGAAGGCGGCCCCCUGGAUUGACACUGACGCUGAGGUGCGAAAGCGUGGGUAGCAAACAGGAUUAGAUACCCUGGUAGUCCACGCCGUAAACGAUGUCAACUAGCUGUUGGGGCUCUUGUAGUUCUGGUAGCGCAGCUAACGCACUAAGUUGACCGCCUGGGGAGUACGGCCGCAAGGUUA
rnacentral:rRNA from 1 species